rnacentral:rRNA from 1 species
AACGCGAAGAACCUUACCAAGGCUUGACAUAUAGCGAAAAGUGGCAGAGAUGUCAUGUCCGCAAGGGCGCUAUACAGGUGGUGCAUGGUUGUCGUCAGCUCGUGUCGUGAGAUGUUGGGUUAAGUCCCGCAACGAGCGCAACCCUCGUUCUGUGUUACCAGCAUUCAGUUGGGGACUCACAGGAGACUGCCGGGGUUAACUCGGAGGAAGGUGGGGAUGACGUCAAAUCAUCAUGCCCCUUAUGUCUUGGGCUGCACGCAUGCUACAAUGGCCGGUACAAAGUGCUGCGAAAUCGUAAGAUUUAGCGAAUCACAUAAAGCCGGUCUCAGUUCGGAUUGAGGUCUGCAACUCGACCUCAUGAAGUUGGAGUUGCUAGUAAUCGUAGAUCAGCAACGCUACGGUGAAUACGUUCCCGGGUCUUGUACACACCG